rnacentral:rRNA from 1 species
AGUCGUGCGAGAACGGGUCCUUCGGGAUCCUAGUAAAGCGGCGAACGGGUGCGUAACACGUGGGCAACCUGCCUAUCAGUUUGGGAUAAGCUCUCGAAAGGGGGUCUAAUACCGAAUGAUACCCAGAGGAGACAUCUCUUUUGGUUCAAAGACGGUGAAAGCCGUCGCUGAUAGAUGGGCCCGCGCCCCAUUAGCUAGUUGGUAGGGUAAUGGCCUACCAAGGCUCCGAUGGGUAGCCGACCUGAGAGGGUGACCGGCCACACUGGGACUGAGAUACGGCCCAGACUCCUACGGGAGGCAGCAGUAGGGAAUAUUGCGCAAUGGAGGCAACUCUGACGCAGCAACGCCGCGUGGAUGAUGAAGCUCUUUGGAGUGUAAAGUCCUGUCGCCAGGGAAGAAACGAUGGGUGAGGAAAUGCAUUCGUCCUGACGGUACCUGGAGAGGAAGUUCCGGCUAACUCCGUGCCAGCAGCCGCGGUAACACGGGGGGAACGAGCGUUGUUCGGAUUUACUGGGCGUAAAGGGUGCGUAGGCGGGUUGGCAAGUCGGGUGUGAAAUUCCAUAGCUUAACUAUGGGCCUGCAUUCGAAACUGUUGAUCUUGAGUACUGGAGAGGUGAGUGGAAUUCUCGGUGUAGCGGUGAAAUGCGUAGAUAUCGAGAGGAACACCGUUGGCGAAGGCGGCUCACUGGACAGAUACUGA